UACGUAGGGGGCUAGCGUUGCUCGGAAUCACUGGGCGUAAAGGGUGCGUAGGCGGGUCUUUAAGUCAGGGGUGAAAUCCUGGAGCUCAACUCCAGAACUGCCUUUGAUACUGAAGAUCUUGAGUUCGGGAGAGGUGAGUGGAACUGCGAGUGUAGAGGUGAAAUUCGUAGAUAUUCGCAAGAACACCAGUGGCGAAGGCGGCUCACUGGCCCGAUACUGACGCUGAGACGCGAAAGCGUGGGGAGCGAACAGG
rnacentral:rRNA from 1 species